ACGAACGCUGGCGGCGUGCUUCACACAUGCAAGUCGCACGGAAAGGCCCUGCUUUUGUGGGGUGCUCGAGUGGCGAACGGGUGAGUAACACGUGAGUAACCUGCCCUUGACUUUGGGAUAACUUCAGGAAACUGGGGCUAAUACCGGAUAGGAGCUCCUGCUGCAUGGUGGGGGUUGGAAAGUUUCGGCGGUUGGGGAUGGACUCGCGGCUUAUCAGCUUGUUGGUGGGGUAGUGGCUUACCAAGGCUUUGACGGGUAGCCGGCCUGAGAGGGUGACUGGCCACAUUGGGACUGAGAUACGGCCCAGACUCCUACGGGAGGCAGCAGCGGGGAAUAUUGCACAAUGGGCGGAAGCCUGAUGCAGCAACGCCGCGUGCGGGAUGACGGCCUUCGGGUUGUAAACCGCUUUCGCCUGUGACGAAGCGUGAGUGACGGUAAUGGGUAAAGAAGCACCGGCUAACUACGUG
rnacentral:rRNA from 1 species